AUGAACAAAGCUAGUGGAGGUGAUGGAAUUCCAGUUGAGCUGUUUCAAAUCCUAAAAGAUGAUGCUGUGAAAGUGCUGCACUCAAUAUGCCAGAAAAUUUGGAAGACUCAGAAGUGGCCACAGGACUGGAAAAGGUCAGUUUUCAUUCCAAUCCCAAAGAAAGGCAAUGCCAAAGAAUGCUCAAACUACCACAUAAUUGCAAUUGCACUCAUCUCACACGCUAGUAAAGUAAUGCUCAAAAUUCUCCAAGCCAGGCUUCAGCAAUAUGUGAACCAUGAACUUCCUGAUGUUCAAGCUGGUUUUAGAAAAGACAGAGGAACCAGAGAUCAAAUUGUCAACAUCUGCUGGAUCAUGGAAAAAGCAAGAGAGUUCCAGAAAAACAUCUAUUUCUGCUUUCUUGACUAUGCCAAAGCCUUUGACUGCGUGGAUCACAAUAAACUGUUGAAAAUUCUGAAAGAGAUGGAAAUCCCAGACCACCUGACCUGCCUCUUGAGAAACUUGUAUGCAGGUCAGGAAGCAACAGUUAGAACUGAACAUGGAACAACAGACUGGUUCCAAAUAGGAAAAGGAGUACGUCAAGGCUGUAUAUUGUCACCCUACUUAUUUAACUUCUAUGCAGAGUACAUCAUGAGAAACGUUGGACUGGAAGAAACACAAGCUGGAAUCAAGAUUGCCUGGAGAAAUACCAAUCACCUCAGAUAUGCAGAUGAUACCACCCUUAUGGCAGAAAGUGAAGAGGAACUAAAAAGCCUCUUGAUGAAAGUGAAAGAGGAGAGUGAAAAAGUUGGCUUAAAGCUCAACAUUCAGAAAACGAAGAUCAUGGCAUCUGGUCCCAUCACUUCAUGGGAAAUAGACAGGGAAACAGUGGAAACAGUGUCAGACUUUAUCUUUUGGGGCUCCAAAAUCAUUGCAGAUGGUGACUACAGCCAUGAAAUUAAAAGACGCUUACUCCUUGGAAGAAAAGUUAUGACCAACCUAGAUAGUAUAUUGAAAAGCAGAGACAUUACUUUUCCAACAAAGGUCCGUCUAGUCAAGGCUAUGGUUUUUCCUGUGGUCAUGUAUGGUUGUGAGAGUUGA
rnacentral:lncRNA from 1 species